AUCUAUGGCCAUGCCACCCUGAAUGUGCCCAAUCUUGUCUGAUCUCGGAAGCUAAGCAGGGUUGGGCCUGGUUAGUACUUGAAUGGGAGACCACCUGGGAAGAACAGGUGCUAUAGGCA
rnacentral:rRNA from 1 species